CACACCUGGGUUUAAUUACCCAGUUUGGAUUUCGUCUCUGUUUCCUCCAUGUUGUGUCAGCUCCUUGUGUGUCUUCCAGUAAGUGCCUAUGGUUCACUUCUUUGUGGGUUUUUGUGUAGAUUCCCAGUUAAUGUAAAGUUGAUCCCAGAACUUUGAAUGAGUUUUUUUGCAAGUUGUGUGCUCUUGUGUCCUCUCCCUUUGUUUUAAACUGACAUCGUGACUCAGACAGACAAGUAUCUUGCUAGCCACACAGAAAAGUAACACACAGAAAAUUAUGUUUUAGCAGUAAGUCUAAUCUUUAGAUUCUACCAGUGUGUAUCUAACAGAGCCUAUAUACUAAACGGCUAAGACUUUAACUAGUUCUCAUUAACACAUCUCCACUGUCACCACAAACACAUAAAAACCCACUACACUACACAUCGACUGUGAUUUUUUUUUGAGUUUUUCAGUGUGAAAGCAAGAGGGCCUGUCUUGGUAGUAAAUACAGGUAUGGGCUGUUUUGCUCUCCUGUAAAGUAAGUCUUUUUUUUUUUUUCUUUCUUUUUUUAAAGGGACUGAGCUGCAGCACAUGUUCAUUCUCAACACUGCCAACUGUGAUGAAUAGCUUUCAAUCAGGCCACAAAAUGGGUUCAAACACCUCUUGGAAAGGGUUUAGUCGCAUAAUUGCUCUUCAGAAGAGAGGCUAUUCGGAAUACUCUGUCUGAAAAUGUAUUACAUUCUGAUAGGAUUCAUCAGCGGCUAGCAAAAGAAAAACAUUUAACCUUGUGAGAGAUUGAAAUGUCUUUUUAACACAUUUUUAAAAUAAUUUGCUGUCACCUACGCUCAGUGGAAGUAAAAGUUAAUUUGUGUGAGGUUUGAAAGUUGUCGAGGUUAGCGAGGACAAUGUGGACUGAGAAGCUGGAAUGAAAAAAAACUUGUAUCUGGAGAAUUUAAUCACAGUAAAGAGGAAAGAAAUGUUUUUAUGACAUUAAGGAUACUCUCGCUCCUUUUUAUUGCUGCCUGCUAAAAUUAGUGAACCUUCUAGCUGUGUGGUUUGUAGAAAGUGACCAGUAAAUUAUGACCAUUUUAACAAAAAUAUCCAUGUCCAAAUGGUGCCAAAUGAUCAUAACUGUGUCACCUCUAAAAACAAGAGAAAAUAAUCAUUUUUAGGAGAAAUACCUGCAUUAUUCUUUUUGUAGGAUGUUUCCUGGAGGUGAAAGGCAAAACUGCUGUACUUAAUUUUUUGGGUACAGUUACAUUUUAAUGCAAAAAAGAUAUGUGAAAUAAAAUGGAUAGGAACCCUAUAGAUUUUAUCUUGUUGCUAAUUUCUUAUUGAACUGCUUCAAUUGCAUUAAUCUAUCUGUAAAUACUGUCCAUUUGUGAAAAAUACUUGUGCAGUUUGAUCAAUAAAAAAAAGAUUAGCCCUUUAAACGGCAAAAAAGAUAACUGCCUUCAAAAGCCGCUGCCACUCUUUUCUCACCUUUGCUGCUGAACUCGCUUUUGUGCCAGUAAGUGAGCACAAUUUAACCUGUCCUAAACCAGUUAAUCUGAUAAAGACAGGCGUGCCAGCUGGCAUGGCGGGAAAAAAAGCAAUCCCAUUCCAUCUUCACUUAGCGCUUUAAACGCUUGCCCGGCCAUGCCACACAGUGUCAGCAUGCAGACAUGCUGUGCCCUGUCCUGAGGCGAUCAACCUGCUCUGGAACAGCAGGAUGGAGCCACAUCCUCUCUGUGAGCCUCGGGCCAGUAAUCAAAACACACCCAACCUCACCACAAAGCUAUUAAAUUAAUGAUAAGAGGAUGUUUAGUCGAGCAUUUUUUCAGCUUGUGGUUAUAGAGACAAAAAAAAGUAACAAAAAGUAAAUUGCUGUUCAUUACACUCCAGUUUACCUUGGCAGCCAUUGAAUGUCACUGAGUUGUUGUAAGAAGUGCGUGACUGCUAUGAGAUGCUGUCGCUUCAGGAUCUGAAUCUUAAAUUAAAAAUCAAGGGGUGCAAAAUAUACGUGGAAAAGAGACGUUUCAACAAGUCUGUUAUAAUUUUAGUCGAAGACGGGUAAAAUCAGAAUCUUACUCAUGCAAUGCAGAAAAAAACACUUCAACUGAAUUCAUAAUGAAAUCUGUUUGAUAAAUAAUAAUCUAUUUGUUGUUUAUAUUUUGAAUUUUUGUGUCUUUUUUUAGCAUGGAGGUGGCUUCCUGGAAAAACGUAAAGGAAUGGGAUUUUGGAAGUUGUUGCAGUUCAUUUCGUGACGUCCUCGCUACCAUGUGGAAGUGAAAACUUUGACUUCAGGUAAGGAUUUAUUUUGGCUGAGAGACAUUCAAAAGUAGAGAACUCUGUACAUUAUUUGCUGCUUAAAAGAAAGCCCGGGUGGUUUUUUUCUUGCUACUUGGAACUAAACAUUGUGGGAUAUGUCAAAAUACAUUUUCGUGACAAAAGGCUUUGACCAAUAGGGAAUUGAAUACAUGGCACUGGCUCACAUUUAUGUUUAUAAAUUCUUGGUCAUUUUGUUAAAUACUAUACAUCAAGGCAAAAAUAAAGAAAUUUUCAUGGUUUGCUAUGGUUAAAGACUGGGCGAACUUAGCCAGAGCUGCUUUCGUGGAAUGAGUGGGCUGCAUAUUUAGAGCCCGUCUCCUGUGUUGAAACUAGAGCAGGGUUGAAGCAGAGAUAGGUCAGACAUGAGCUGACACUGUUGGCCGUCUGCACCAGCAGGGGAACAUCAUGAGGUCAUAGCAACUGGAAGAGUGGCGCCAGAGGUUAGCAUGUCGUACGGCUCUCAGGGUGUGCAGGACAUGUUGUGCCCUUGCACCUCAGGGUGCUCUGUUCACGGACAUGCAAUCAACUAUACCCUCACCUUUGAACCUCAAGCCCUCCCUGGUCUAGACACAUCUGAUUCUGGUUACUCACAUGGCCUUCAGGGACUAGGGUUAAAGGUAAAUCGAUUAUGGUGAAUAUUUUAGUGUCAUCACAACAUCUGCAAAGCUCACUGAAGAAGAGCUGUAAAAAAAAUCUUCUGGAAAUGUUAGAAAACUGUGGUUACUCUAUUUUCAUUUGUUUGUUUUACUUUCUACACCAAGUUGUAGGUGUAAGCUGUCGAUGUUUGACAGUGAUACCGAAAAAAACAACAAUGCUGCUUUUGUAACUAUGACAAAGAGAAAUAUCAGGGCGUGUGUUUUCGGGGGACUGAUUUCUUACCUUAUGUGUCUGUGGUUGUAAUUUAAUGCAAUAAAUAAACACACUGUGACAUUUAUUCAAAAGAUAAAUCAAAGAUUUUAUUAUGACAGCAUAAAAGAACCUGAUCUACAACUAUUCCACCUUUGAAACUCAAUAUUCUACACAACUCAAUAUUGUUUCAUUCGCCUCCUUCAAAGACUACUACAUUAUCCAGAGCCAUUACCUACCUCUUUCCAAUUCAAGCUUACUUUGCCCCAAAGUGGAAUAAAACACGAUUAAUGAUUUCAAUUACUCUGACCCUGCUUGCCGUUUACAGUGCCUGCAGUCUGGGGGAGGGAGCUGCGCUGCAUAAAAGCUGGUGGUGAAGGACAUUUACUAGGGGAAUGAUUCAGUGAGGGGACUGGCGGUUUGUGCUGGCUCAUCAGCAGGGGAACAGAGCUUCUCUUUGUGCUGGAAACCGUCUUAUUGCUCCGCUCAGAAACCACAUUGAAGUCUCAUGCUAGCCUGCCUUUCUCUUUGACGUUCAUCAGGAUGGGAUACCUUUGCUACGGCUGAUCCAUCUCACAAAAUGUCAAUGAACACAAAUCUAUCAGUGUAAACAAUGUGAAACCUUCCAUAGCAAAAUGCAGGGCAAACCUCCCCAUUGAAAACCAGC
rnacentral:lncRNA from 1 species